rnacentral:rRNA from 1 species
GCGNGUUACGAUUCGCCCUUAGAGUUUGAUCAUGGCUCAGGAUGAACGCUAGCGGCAGGCUUAACACAUGCAANUCGAGGGGCAGCAUGUCCAGCAAUGGAUGAUGGCGACCGGCGGAAGGGUGCGUAACGCGUGAGCAACAUGCCCUAUACAGGGAGAUACACCAGGGAAACUUGGUCUAAUAUCCCAUAGCAUUCAUUGAAGGCAUCUUUAAUGAAUUAAAGCUUCGGUGGUAUAGGAUUGGCUCGCGUGACAUUAGCCAGAUGGUGAGGUAACGGCUCACCAUAGCAAUGAUGUCUAGGGGUUUUGAGAGGAAGGCCCCCCACACUGGGACUGAGACACGGCCCAGACUCCUACGGGAGGCAGCAGUGAGGAAUAUUGGACAAUGGAUGGAAAUCUGAUCCAGCCAUGCCGCGUGCAGGAAGACGGCCUUAUGGGUUGUAAACUGCUUUUAUACGGGAGCAAUAAGGGUUACGAGUAAUCCGAUGAGAGUACUGUAUGAAUAAGGAUCGGCUAACUCCGUGCCAGCAGCCGCGGUAAUACGGAGGAUCCGAGCGUUAUCCGGAAUUAUUGGGUUUAAAGGGUGCGUAGGCGGCCAUUUAAGUCAGCGGUGAAAUUUUGCAGCUUAACUGUAACAGUGCCGUUGAUACUGUUUGGCUAGGAUUUGGUUGUAGUGUGCGGAAUGUGUGGUGUAGCGGUGAAAUGCUUACAUAUCACACAGAACACCGAUUGCGAAGGCAGCACACUAAGUCAUUAUUGACGCUGAGGCACGAAAGUGUGGGGAUCAAACAGGAUUAGAUACCCUGGUAGUCCACACUGUAAACGAUGAUAACUA